rnacentral:rRNA from 1 species
UACGUAGGGGGCUAGCGUUGUCCGGAAUCAUUGGGCGUAAAGCGCGUGUAGGCGGUCCGGUAAGUCCGCUGGGAAAGUCGGGGGCUCAACCCUCGGAUGCCGGUGGAUACUGUCGGGCUUGAGUACGGAAGAGGCGAGUGGAAUUCCUGGUGUAGCGGUGAAAUGCGCAGAUAUCAGGAGGAACACCAAUUGCGAAGGCAGCUCGCUGGGACGUUACUGACGCUGAGACGCGAAAGCGUGGGGAGCAAACAGG